rnacentral:rRNA from 1 species
GACGAACGCUGGCGGCGUGCUUAACACAUGCAAGUCGAACGGAAAGGCCUCUUUCGGGGGGUACUCGAGUGGCGAACGGGUGAGUAACACGUGAGUAACCUGCCCUUGACUUUGGGAUAACUUCAGGAAACUGGGGCUAAUACCGGAUAGGAGCUCCUGCUGCAUGGUGGGGGUUGGAAAGUUUCGGCGGUUGGGGAUGGACUCGCGGCUUAUCAGCUUGUUGGUGGGGUAGUGGCUUACCAAGGCUUUGACGGGUAGCCGGCCUGAGAGGGUGACCGGCCACAUUGGGACUGAGAUACGGCCCAGACUCCUACGGGAGGAAGCAGUGGGGAAUAUUGCACAAUGGGUGGAAGCCGGAUGCAGCAACGCCGUGUGCGGGAUGACGGCCUUCGGGUUGUAAACCGCUUUCGCUCAUGACGAAGCUUUGUGUGACGGUAGUGGGUAAAGAAGCACCGGCUAACUACGUG